rnacentral:lncRNA from 1 species
UUACCGAAAAAGGCUUUCGCCCCGCUUUAUAUAUAAAGCAAACCGCCCAAGCCAAACAUCCAACAUAGGUCCACAACACACACACACACACACACUAGGAGUCCACGAGAACACAGAGUACAAUCUGGGUUAAUGCUGAGGGCACAGCUCAACAAGCCCUGAAAACAUAAAAAACACAAGGCACAGAAGUGCCGGAUCGCAAGGCGCGGAACACAUCCAGCGUCUCAGGGAGAAGGCGCAAGCCUAGUCGGGCUCCGGGGGUGGGGGCGGGAGAGGAGGCGCCACUCGGAAGGCCAUCGCGCGGAGGUCGGCGAGGAGGGUGUCGAUGGCGUCCCGGUCCUGGGGCCGGCUAAGCGGCCGCCAAAGCUGCAAGUAACCACACAAUUUGAAGAUUGCGUCAGUCGCACGUCGAAGAGGCGUUUUUUGGAUGACAAGCUUGUUGCGAAUGGUCUAGAGAGUCCAGGAAAGGACCCCCACACGCAGCCACCUAAUGUGGCGGUGACGGGGGGCGGAGGCUUGGAUUUCCGCCAGCAGGUCCUGGAAGUUGGUGUUGCACCAACGACCACUGACCGUCUCGCGGAAGCAAGCCCACAGGAAUUGGGCCGAGACGCACGAGAAGAAGAUGUGGUUGGCAUCCUCAACCGUGCCACAUAAGGGACAUCCCAUCACCCGGGCCAUUGCGCUUCAGGACCUCAACCCCAGAGGGUAGGUGGCCCCGGAUCUACUGCCACAAGAAGAUCCGGAUCUUCAACAGCAAGCGGAUGUCCCAGAUCAGGCUAAGGCUCAGGGGCCUGAGAAGGAGCAAUGGCCGGAUAAAGGGACUUCGUGGAGAACCGUCCCGAAGGCUCCAGACGCCAUGACACGGAGUCAGGCGCGCCAUCCAGAUCCAAAGGCUGGAGGGCGAUGGCCUGGAGGAGAGCGUCCCAAGCGGCAACCUCGAGAGGACCGAAGGGGCGACGGAAGACGAGCCGCCCUAAGUCAAAAGGGCCGACUCGACGGAGACCCGAGGGUCAACCGCAAUGGAGAAUAGCUCCGGGAAACGGGCGGCCCGGGGGGGGGGGGGAGUCCCCCAGCCACCGGUCAAACCAGAACAGCGUCGCGGACCCAGAACCCACCUCAAUGGAGGUACCAAUACGGAGAACAGGAAGGAGCUGCCGAGCUGGAUCACAGCCUGCCAAAACUGGGAUCCACCGGAGCGCUGAC